UCCAAUUAAAUGCUUUCUUUUAUAAGAGUUGCUGUGGUCAUGGUGUCUCUUCAUGACAACAGAACACUGACUGAAACAGUCACCUUUAAUUUUUUCACCUGUAUAUUGUAUCUAACAGUGUUUGAAGUUGGGCUCGAGGACUGCCUUUAAUCACAACUUGGGAGGUAGAGGCAGUUGGACCACUGUGAGUUUGAGGUGACUUUCUAAGAAGCCCAAGUUGGUCUUAAACCAAAAAAGAAAAAAGAAAUCAAUCCUAUGAGGUCCAGAAUGUUGUGUCAGUCUCUAGGAUGCUGGAAAGACAGGCACCAAACUUAUGUCUAAGUAUGCAUUAUUUUAAAAAUAUUCCACAGGAGCUUAUAAGCAAUGCAUUUUGUUAAUUCAUAUUCAUUAAUAGACUAAGCACCACUGCCAUGUUGCCCCAAAUUUCCCUAUCCUUAUAAAUACUUUAUUACUUGA